rnacentral:rRNA from 1 species
AGUUCGAUCCUGGCUCAGAUUGAACGCUGGCGGGAUGCUUUACACAUGCAAGUCGAACGGCAGCACGGACUUCGGUCUGGUGGCGAGUGGCGAACGGGUGAGUAAUGUAUCGGAACGUGCCUAGUAGGGGAUAACUACGCGAAAGCGUAGCCAAUACCGCAUACGCCCUUCGGGGGAAAGCGGGGACCUUCGGGCCUCGCACUAUUAGAGCGGCCGAUAUCGGAUAUUAGUUGGCGGGGUAACGGCUCACCAAGGCGACGAUCCGUAGCUGGUUUGAGAGGACGACCAGCCACACUGGGACUGAGACACGGCCCAGACUCCUACGGGAGGCAGCAGUGGGGAAUUUUGACAAUGGGGAAACCCUGAUCCAGCCAUCCCGCGUGUGCGAUGAAGGCCUUCGGGUUGUAAAAGCACUUUGGCAGGAAGAAUACGGGAUAAAUACCCCGUGCAACUGAUGGUACCUGCAGAAUAAGCACCGGCUAACCACGUGCCAGCAGCCGCGGUAAUACGUAGGGUGCAAGCGUUAAUCGGAAUUACUGGGCGUAAAGCGUGGCAAAGGCGGUUCGGAAGAAAGAGAACCCAGAGCUUAACUUUGGAACUGCAUUUUUAGAACUACUUGUUGGUGUCAGAGGAGGUGGAAUUCCGCGUAGUAGCGGUGGAAUGCGUAGAUAUGCGGAGGAACACCGAUGGCGAAGGCAGCCUCCUUGGGGAUAACACUGAUUGCUCAUGCACGAAAGCGUGGGGAGCAAACAGGACGACUCUGCAGUCCACGCCCAAACGAUACGUUCAGCUGUUGAAGCCUGGGCCUUGGUAGCGCAGCUAACGCGUGAAGUUGACCGCCUGGGGAGUACGGUCGCAAGAUUAAACUCCAAAGGAAUUGACGGGGACCCGCACAAGCGGUGGGACAUGGACACCUGAUGCAACGCGAAAAACCUUACCUACCCUUGACAUGUUCCGGAAUCUGAAGAGAUUUGGGAGGCUCGCAAGAGAACCGGAACACAGGUGCUGCAUGGCUGUCGUCAGCUCGUGUCGUGAGAUGUUGGGUUAAGUCCUGCAACGAGCGCAAACUCCUUUGCCAUUAGUUGCUACAAAGCUGGGCACUGACGCGACUGCCGGGUGACAAACCGGAGAGGCGGGGACGACGUCAGCCCCGCGGCCCUUAUGGGUAGGGCUUGGCACGGUCAUACAAUGGCCGGACAGAGGGUCGCCAACCCGCAGGGGAGCCAAUCCCAGAAACCCGAUCGCCCGGAUCGCAGUUCGCAACUCGACUGCGUGAAGUUGGAAUCGCUAGUAAUCGCGGAUCAGCAUGUCGCGGUGAAUACGUUCCCGGGUCUUGUACACGCCGCCCGUCACACCAUGGGAGUGGGUUUUACCAGAAGUAGUUAGCCUAACCGUAUGAGGGCGAUGACACGGUAGGAUUCAUGACUGGGGUGAAGUCGUAACAAGGUAG